rnacentral:rRNA from 1 species
AUUGAACGCUGGCGGCAUGCCUUACACAUGCAAGUCGAACGGUAACAGGUUAAGCUGACGAGUGGCGAACGGGUGAGUAAUGUAUCGGAACGUGCCCAGUCGUGGGGGAUAACUGCUCGAAAGAGCAGCUAAUACCGCAUACGACCUGAGGGUGAAAGCGGGGGAUCGCAAGACCUCGCGCGAUUGGAGCGGCCGAUAUCAGAGUAGGUAGUUGGUGAGGUAAAGGCUCACCAAGCCGACGAUCUGUAGCUGGUCUGAGAGGACGACCAGCCACACUGGGACUGAGACACGGCCCAGACUCCUACGGGAGGCAGCAGUGGGGAAUUUUGGACAAUGGGCGCAAGCCUGAUCCAGCCAUGCCGCGUGCGGGAAGAAGGCCUUCGGGUUGUAAACCGCUUUUGUCAGGGAAGAAAAGGUUCUGGCUAAUACCUGGGACUCAUGACGGUACCUGAAGAAUAAGCACCGGCUAACUACGUG